UAUAUAGUUUAACAAAACAUUACAUUUUCAUUGUAAAAUUAAAGAUCAUUCUUUUAUAAAUU
rnacentral:tRNA from 1 species